AUUGCAAUUGCUUGAUUACAUGGUGAGAGUAGGUUCGGUUUGUAAGAAGCUUCCAUGGUAUGUCUCAAAGUGAUUGUACCAUUCUGUAUUCCCACCAGCAAU
rnacentral:pre_miRNA from 1 species